GACGAACGCUGGCGGCGCGCUUAACACAUGCAAGUCGAGCGAGAACCGGUCCUUCGGGACCGGGGAAAGCGGCGAACGGGUGAGUAACACGUGGGUAAUCUGCCCUCGGUUUCGGGAUAGCCCGGGGAAACCCGGAUUAAUACCGAAUGGCCCUUUCGGUCUUCGGAUUGAAAGGAAAAGGUAGCUUCGGCCUCCGACCGAGGAUGAGCCCGCGGCGGAUUAGCUUGUUGGUGGGGUAACGGCCUACCAAGGCAACGAUCCGUAGCUGGUCUGAGAGGGCGAUCAGCCACACUGGGACUGAGACACGGCCCAGACUCCUACGGGAGGCAGCAGUGGGGAAUCUUGCGCAAUGGGCGAAAGCCUGACGCAGCGACGCCGCGUGCGGGAAGAAGGCCUUCGGGUUGUAAACCGCUUUCAGGUGGGACGAAGCCACUCGGGUGAAUAGCCCAGAGGGUGACGGUACCUCCAGAAGAAGUCCCGGCUAACUACGUGCCAGCCGCCGCAGUAACAC
rnacentral:rRNA from 1 species